GACGAACGCUGGCGGCGUGCCUAAUACAUGCAAGUAGAACGCUGAAGAGAGGAGCUUGCUCUUCUUGGAUGAGUUGCGAACGGGUGAGUAACGCGUAGGUAACCUGCCUUGUAGCGGGGGAUAACUAUUGGAAACGAUAGCUAAUACCGCAUAACAAUGGAUGACACAUGUUAUUUAUUUGAAAGGGGCAAUUGCUCCACUACAAGAUGGAUCUGCGUUGUAUUAGCUAGUAGGUGAGGUAACGGCUCACCUAGGCGACGAUACAUAGCCGAGCUGGGAGGGUGAUCGGCCACACUGGGACUUGGACACGGCCCAAGCUCCUUCGGGGAGGAGCAGUAGGGGAACUUCGGCAAUGGGGGCAACGCUGACCGAACAACGCCGCGUGAGUGGAGGAGGUUUUCCGAUCGUAAAGCUCUGUUGUGAGUCAAGGACGAGUAUUAGAGUAGAAAGUUCACACUGUGACGGUAGCUUAACAGAAAGGGACGGCUAACUACGUG
rnacentral:rRNA from 1 species